AGGCCAGACUCCUACGGGAGGCAGCAGUGAGGAAUAUUGGUCAAUGGUCGGGAGACUGAACCAGCCAAGCCGCGUGAGGGAGGAAGGUACAGAGUAUCGUAAACCUCUUUUGUCAGGGAACAAAGACUGGGACGCGUCCCCGGAUGAGUGUACCUGAAGAAAAAGCAUCGGCUAACUCCGUGCCAGCAGCCGCGGUAAUACGGAGGAUGCGAGCGUUAUCCGGAUUUAUUGGGUUUAAAGGGAGCGUAGGUGGAUUGUUAAGUCAGUUGUGAAAGUUUGCGGCUCAACCGUAAAAUUGCAGUUGAAACUGGCAGUCUUGAGUACAGUAGAGGUGGGCGGAAUUCGUGGUGUAGCGGUGAAAUGCGUAGAUAUUAGGAGGAACACCAGUGGCGAAGGCGGCUUACUGGACGAUAACUGACGUUGAGGCUCGAAAGCGUGGGGAGCAAACAGGAUUAGAUACCCCUGUA
rnacentral:rRNA from 1 species